rnacentral:rRNA from 1 species
UACGUAGGGGGCAAGCGUUGUCCGGAUUUAUUGGGCGUAAAGAGCGUGUAGGCGGCCAAGCAGGUCCGCUGUGAAAACUCGAGGCUCAACCUCGAGACGUCGGUGGAAACCGUUUGGCUAGAGUCCGGAAGAGGAGAGUGGAAUUCCCGGUGUAGCGGUGAAAUGCGCAGAUAUCGGGAAGAACACCCGUGGCGAAGGCGGCUCUCUGGGACGGUACUGACGCUGAGACGCAAAAGCGUGGGGAGCGAACAGG